GCUGUAUAUUUUUAUCAUUUUAAAGAAGUGUCUUUGUAAUCCUGGUUUUCAGAGAGCUUUUAUUUAAAAUUGCUUAUUCCAUUUUACAGAAUGCCUUUUGGACGUUUUAUAUUAUAAGGUUUGUCUUAUUUGAUCCAUUGAUGUGCCAUAUUAGAUUUCUUAAUAUUAAAUUUUUCUAGCAUAGCACAAUAAUUAUGACUUGGUUAUGGUGGAUUAUGCCCUUUAUGGUAUCUUUGAAUUUAAUUUGCUAGCAUUUUAUUUGGAAUAUUUUCAUUUGCAUUUAUAAGUGACAACGAUUGAUAGGUGCCCUCACAUGCGUGUGUGUGAGUGUGCGCAUGCGCUUUCACACAAGCUAUUAUUGUCAGGCACGGACCAGGAUUUUUCUUUUUUUUUUUUCUUUCCAACUUUUAUUUUACGUUCAAGGGGUACCUGUGCAGGUUUGUUACACGGGGAAAUUGUGUGUUGCAGGGAUUUGGUAUACAGAUAAUUUUGACACUCAGGUAAGCAGAAUAAUAUCCGAUAGGUUGUUUUUCAGUCCUCACCCUUCUCCCAUCCUUCACCCUCAGUUAGGCCCCGACGUCUAUUGUUCCCUUCUUUGUGUUCAUGUGUACUCAAUGUUUAACUCCCACAUAUAAGUGAGAAUAUGCGGCAUUUGGUUUUCUGUUCCUGCGUUAAUUUGCUUAGGAUUGUGGCCUCCGGCUCCAUCCACGUUGCUGCAAAGACUAUGAUCUCAAUUUUUUUUAUAGUUGCGUAGUAUUCUUUAGUGUAUACAUACUGCAUUUUCUUUAUCCAGUCCACUUUUGGUGGCCACCUGGGUUGAUUCCACGUCUUUGCUAUUGUGAAUAGUGCUGCAGUGAACAUAGGUGUGCAUGUGUCUUCAGGGUAGAACGACUUAUAUUUCUGUGGGUAAAUGGAAUUGCUGGGUCAAACGGUAAUUCUAUUUUAAAUUCUUUGAGAAGUCUCCAAACAGAACAGGACUUUUCUGAGUAGAGUGUUAAAUAUGUGGACAAAAACUGAUGGAACUGCAAGAAUCAAUAGACAAUGCAUAUUUAUAGUUAGAGAUUUCAAUACCUUUCUCAAUAACUGAAAAAACAGAAAAUCUGUGAGAAUAUAUACAAUUUGAACAGCACUAUCAACUAAUUUGACCUAAUUGACAUUUGCAGAACACUCCACCCAACAACAGCAGAGUUCAUAUUCUCUUACAAUUCAUAUGUAGCAUUUAUCAAAAUAGGCUACAUUCUUAAGUUCAGGUCUUCAGGUCUUUUGUCAGCUUUAUACCUAAAGUUUUUAUAUUUUUGAUGAUGUCAAAUGUAUUGUUAAGUUUCAUGUUCUGAUUGUUGUUAGUUUAUAGAAAGACAAUUGAUAUUUGUGCACUGCAUUUAUAUCCUGCAACUGCUAAACACAUAUUAAGUUUAGGACCUUUUUUUAUAGAUUUUGUAACAUUAUCGGGACAGUUGAUAAUGUCAUUUGUGAAUAAAGAAAGUUUACUUCUUCCUUUCAAUCUGGAUGCAUUUUAUUUCUUUUUUCUUGUAUUAU
rnacentral:lncRNA from 1 species